UACAGAGGUCCCGAGCGUUUGUUCGGAUUCAUUGGGCGUAAAGGGUGCGUAGGUGGCGCGGUAAGUCGGGUGUGAAAUUUCGGAGCUUAACUCCGAAACUGCAUUCGAUACUGCCGUGCUUGAGGACUGGAGAGGAGACUGGAAUUUACGGUGUAGCAGUGAAAUGCGUAGAGAUCGUAAGGAAGACCAGUGGCGAAGGCGGGUCUCUGGACAGUUCCUGACGCUGAGGCACGAAGGUCAGGGGAGCAAACGGG
rnacentral:rRNA from 1 species